rnacentral:lncRNA from 1 species
GUAACAAACAAAGCAAUCUUUCAUGGAGAGAAACCUUAGUCUCAGUAUGAUCACUGUGUCAUUAACCCACUGCCUGCUUCUUUGCUUGGUUGUUGCAGCAGCAGCAGCAGCAAGCAGCAAUAUUCCCACAGACCAACAAGCUCUUCUUGCCCUGAAAGAUCAUAUAAUUUAUGAUCCGACCAACCUUUUAGCCCAUAAUUGGACCUCGAAUACCUCUGUUUGUACCUGGAUUGGCAUCACUUGUGAUGUCAAUAGCCAUAGAGUCACAACCUUAGAUAUUUCUCAAUUCAAUCUACAAGGCACCAUCCCUCCUCAACUUGGAAACCUCUCUUCACUCACAACACUUAAUCUUAGUCAUAAUAAGCUUUCUGGAAGCAUUCCCCCUCCAUCUACACCAUGCAUACGCUAAAAUUUCUAGACUCCACUGAUAACCAGCUCUCUGGUUCAGUGUCUUCCUUCGUCUUCAACAUGACUUCAAUAUUCGACAUUCGUUUGACCAAUAACAGACUUUCCGGUGAGCUUCCGAAAAAUAUUUGCAAUUACCUUCCUCAUUUGAAAGCCCUUUUUUUGGACAAAAACAUGUUUCAUGGAAAAAUUCCUUCUGCUUUAUCAAAGUGCAAACAACUGCAACAAUUAAAUUUGCAUUCCAAUAAUUUAUCCGGGGCAAUACCAAAAGAAAUCGGCAACUUGACUAUGCUCAAAGGGAUAGACCUCGGCUACAACAAACUCCACGGUAUGUUCAUAAUACUAUCUAAAUAUUUUAAUUUAUCACUUGUUAAUUUUCUUGAAUACCUUAGAUAAGAUCUUGUAAGUGAGAUUUUUUGCAUCUAUGUUAAUUUACCAGGUGAGAUACCACACGAAAUCGCUAAUCUUCGAAAUCUAGAGGCUUUAGUGCUUGGAAUGAACAACCUAGUUGGUAUGGUAUCAGCUACAAUCUUCAACAUGUCAACAGUGAAGGUGAUUAUCCUCAUAAAUAACUCUCUCUCUGGAAGUCUUCCAUCAAGAAUGGACCUUUCACUUCCAACUAUUGAGCAUCUUAACUUGGCACUUAAUAGAUUUUCUGGAACCAUUCCUAGUUCUAUCACCAAUGCUUCUAAGCUCACCUUUCUAGAGUUGGGAGGAAACACAUUUUCGGGCUUUAUUCCAAACACAUUUGGUAAUUUAAGAAACCUUGAGCUGCUCGACUUGGCUAAUAACUACUUGACAUCUUCAACCUCAAAAUUGAGCUUCCUUUCCUCUUUGGCAAAUUGCAAGAAAUUAAGAACCUUAAGAUUAAGUGGCAAUCCACUUGACGGCGUCCUUCCAAGUUCAAUAGGAAAUCUUUCUAAGUCUUUGGAAACACUUGUCAUCGUCAAUUGCAGUAUUAGUGGCAACAUUCCUCGAGCAAUUGGCAAUUUAAGCAACUUGUUGGCCUUAGUAUUAGAAGCCAAUAAAUUGACUGGACCAAUUCCAAUUACAUUCGGCCGACUACAGAAACUCCAAGGCUUAGAUCUUGCAUUCAAUAAGUUGGUAGGUUCAUUCCCAGAUGAGCUUUGCCAUCUAGCUAGGCUGGCUGAAUUGGUCUUAUUUGGCAAUAAGCUUUCAGGAUCUAUACCUUCAUGCCUAAGUAAUCUCACUUCUCUAAGAUCUCUCUACUUAGGGUCCAAUAGGUUUACUUCUGUUAUUCCCUCAACUUUCUGGAGCCUAAAAGACAUCUUGUUCUUUGACUUUUCAUCAAAUUUCUUGGUUGGUCCUCUUUCUUUAGACAUAGGAAAUUUGAAGGUGCUUGUAAGAAUAAAUUUAUCAAAAAAUAACUUAUCCGGUGAUAUCCCAGCCACAAUUGGAGGACUGAAAGAUCUUCAAUUUAUGGACGUAGCAUAUAAUAGAUUGGAAGGCCCAAUUCCUGAAUCAUUUGGUGACUUGACAAGUUUGGAGGUUUUGAAUUUGUCAAAAAAUAAAAUCUCUGGGUCUAUUCCAACAUCCAUGGAGAAACUCUUUUACCUCCGAGAGUUAAAUCUCUCUUUCAAUGAACUAGAAGGUGAGAUUCCCAGUGGAGGAAUUUUUGCCAACUUCACAGCUGAGUCAUUUAUGGGAAAUGAGUUAUUGUGUGGUUUACCAAGUCUUCAAGUCCAACCAUGCAAAGUUAGCAAGCCGAGGACAGAACAUAAAUCAAGGAAAAAGAUACUUCUCAUUGUGAUUGUUUUGCCAUUGAGUAUUGCUCUAACAAUAGCAAUCACACUAGCUCUCAAAUCUAAGCUGAUCGAAUGUGGAAAAAGAAGCACAGUGUUGUCAAAUGAUAGUGUCUUGUCAUCACAAGCAACACUAAGAAGAUUUUCAUACUUAGAACUUUUACAAGCAACAGAUAAUUUUGCUGAAAACAACGUAAUUGGCAUUGGAGGUUUUGGUUCUGUUUAUAGAGCAAGACUUGAAGAUGGGAUGAAGAUUGCAAUAAAAGUGUUUCACCAGCAAUGUGCAAGCGCAUUGAAGAGUUUUGAGGCUGAAUGUGAAGUGUUAAAAAAUAUUCGCCAUCGAAAUCUUCUCAAAGUUAUCAGCAGUUAUUCAAACAAUGACUUCAAAGCAUUAGUCCUAGAAUACAUGUCCAACGGGAGCUUGGGGGAUUGGCUGCAUUCUAGCAAUUAUAUGCUGAAUAUAUUUCAAAGGUUGAACAUAAUGAUUGACGUUGCAUCAGCUUUAGAAUAUCUCCACUUCGAUCAUUCAACUCCUAUCAUUCACUGUGACUUAAAGCCUAGUAAUGUAUUGUUGGACGAAAAUAUGGUUGCUCAUUUGAGUGAUUUUGGCAUAGCAAAGCUUUUAAGUGGAGAGGAUGAGUAUUUGAUGCGAACAAAAACCCUUGCCACUAUAGGUUAUAUGGCACCAGGUUUGCUUCAAACAAUUGUUUUUUUUUAAGUUCAUUUUAAAUUUUCCAAAUCAUUGAUUUUUACGAUCCUCACAUCAAAAUUUUCUUGAUUAUUUAUCUAAUUGUGAAAUUAAUUUUAUUCAUAGAGUACGGCAUAGAAGGAGAAGUAUCUACAAAAAGUGAUGUUUACAGCUAUGGGAUUAUGUUGAUGGAAACUUUUACUAAGAAAAACCCCACAGAUGAAAUUUUUGUUGGAGAAUUGAGCUUAAAGCGUUGGGUUAAUGACUUGCUUCCUACUUCAUUAGUGGAAGUUGUGGACAAAACUCUGCUAAGUGGAGAGGAAAAACAUUCUGCAGUAAAGGAGCAAUGUCUGUUGUCUAUCUUUAGUUUGGCUCUGGAGUGUACAAUGGAAUCACCGGAAAAGAGGAUUAAUGCAAAAGAUGUUGUUACCAGAUUACUCAAGAUAAGAGACACAUUGAGUAAAAGGAUAGGAAACUGAAGUUAAUUUCGUUUGCUUUCAUUGAUAGUUAAUUCAAAUUCAUGUAAUAAGUGUAAGAAUCUUAUAUCCUUUCCUUUGAUUUUUUUUUUUUUUUGAGAAAACUGUUGUAGUCAUCUUGUUUCACUGCCCCCAAUGCUUUGGACACCUACUGGUAGGUUUGUACGUGUCCUCAACUUUUUUUAGGAGCACAAAAUUCGAGUCCCAUGGAGACUCAAACAUUCCUUUCCCACAUCCCGAGCACGCUAAGUUCGAGUGAAAGAGAUUAAUUUACGGAAACUAAAGCCAAGAGAAUAAAGGACAACACUUAUGUGAAGCGACAUAAAUGUAUUGAUAGCACAAUGUCAAAUUCAUACAGAGAUCUAGUAUACUAUUUACAGCCGGUAAGGGCUAAGAAUUGAUGUAGCUAGAAUACAAAGACGAUAAGGUAUGUUGUGCACUAUUGUUUUAUUCUACGAUCAAUCUUGACCCUUGAUGCUUGGCUCUCAAUCUUGUCCAUUGAUCUUCUUUGAUUUUGUACACUUCAAGACCUUUCAGUAUCAUUCCUUGUUGUUGGUGUCUUCCGUGCUGUAGAAUUCAUAUACAAGCCUUCCCGCCGACUUGCGAAGUAUUCGUUCAUUGAUGCAUUUUUAUCAAACAGUUGGCCGACUUGCCAAGUAUCAUGCCUUGUUAUAGGUAGGCUUGGUAGGAUUAUGGGUCGGUCGGUAGAUGUACAUGUGUUAAAGCUUUUGAAUUUAUGCCAAUUGAAAAUAAAAAAGAAUCUACAUAAAUUUUCAACGAGGCUAUUACCACAAUAAGCAUUUGGAUGAAUUAUUAUUGAAUCCUUUCUGAGAAGUAGGACAUGUCAGACAUCAAAGCACUGAGAUAUCUUCAAAUAGUGGUAACCCCCACGCAACAAGGCACAAUAAAUUAUACAGAUAAAAUCCUUCACUCUUUCGUAAUCAUCAGUGUAGGCACGGUGAUGCGUCAGACAGAUAUGGGUCGGAUCCACUCCAGCUCCAUAUCAAGAUUCAUAAACCAUGACAAAAAUAGAGAAUCAUAGGUGUUGCAGAUAGUGAUGGUUGUUGAUGCACUCGUGAUUUAAAAUUUUAUUUUAUAUCUUCAAGUUCGCAUUUUAAGUGUCCUUUUUUUUAAUUUUUUAUUGUGAUCAUUAUAACUUGUCAAAUCUAUUUUUAAAUAAUUUUUUAAAAAUAUUUUAUUAACAAUGAUAUGAAAAUAUUCGAACACCUUUUCAUAGUAAAGUGAAUUAUUAUCCGACGAUCCAACUCAUGUUUUCAAAUUGUAAAUUGCAAAUCGUGUGUUUGCUCCAUUACAGAGUUUCAUCAAUUUGAAAUAGAGAAUCAUUUGUGUUCUAGAUUAAUCGAGGGUCUAUAUCCAAAUCUAAAAAUUGACUAACUUGGUUUCUAUUAAAUUCUUAAUCCUAACAAGAAAAAUAGAAGAUUAAAAAUGACUAAUUUGGUUUCUAUUAAUUUGAGUAACGAUCGAAUUACCUAAUUUAUUAAGAUUUAUCAAAAUCCUAUGUCAAAAUCCAUUAAUGAUAUAGGUUCAAUGACGAAAUAGUCACUUGUUAUUAUUUUUGACUUCAUAAAUAGAUGAACGGAUGUUAUUUUUGGAUUCUGGAGAAUCGAAAAUAUCAGGAUAGGUGAUAAAUGGAAUUAAGUUGUAGAUAAGAUAGAAAUGGAUUUGGAGAGAGAUUGGAAUCCUGGGUAAUCCGGAGUACGUUGUUGUGUUGAAUGCUCGUUGACUUCACGUUGACUGAAACAUUAUUGGAAGAAGUGAGCAAGCUUAUUUUCUUCUCUCAUUUUUUAAAUUUGUCUUAAGUUUAUUGAUGUGAGGCCUUUGAGAUUGUAAGUUUCAAAUCUGAGAAGAAUAACCACACACCCAUUAUCCUAUUACUCUUAUUUUAUCACAUGAAGAGAAUUCGAAGUUUGAUAAAUUUGUGAGGAUUGUGAGGGUUGAUGCAAUAUAAUUUAGAUGCAAAGUGUUUACAAGUACGAUGCUUCAUAAGUGUUCUUGAAUCAUUAUAAACUCACGUUAUUUUUAUAAUGAUUGUUUCAUCUGCACAUGGAUAUAAUCAUAUGUUGAGAUUUUUUCCUAAAUUAUGGUCUUAUUUGGUAUUGAGGUGUUAGAUCUUUUAAGUUACAAUUACUAUUGGAAAAAAAAGUGCAACUAUGAAAUAAAAGUUAAUAUUGUGUACUAAAUAUAAUUGUUAAAUAAUAAUUUUGACAAAAUUAGUGAAGAUAUAUAGGUUUUUUUUUAAUCAUCUAAGUGUAAAAUCAAAUCAACUUAACUUCUAAACUAUAUAGCAGCUACUGUUUACCAAAUACUUUAGUACUGUAACUUUUAAGUUAUAGCUGCCUAACCUCAGUCUCAAACAAUGGCUAUAAAGAUCAAAGAUUUCCUCAUAAAAAUUAUACGUCUUGUGAUUGCUUAUUUAAUUUAUAUUUUUUUAUUUAUCUUUAUUAAUUACAGUCAUCUUUUAAUAAAUUACAAUUGCAGGAAGUUGAUGUUCGAAGUGCUUAUGUCGACUCAAAGUUGUUGGGAAUUAAUGCAUGUAUUGAUUUAUUGGGAGUGUUUAAAUGAUUUUGUGAUUUACUUGAUUGAUUGAUUGAAUAAUGUUUGAUUGCUUCAUAUCCGUUCUAGAAAGUUUAUUUCUUUGUGAAAUUUCAAUGAAAUAUGUUUUUUUAAAUUAUAAGGGUUUUUUAAGUAAUUUUAAAAAUAAAUGAACUAAUAAGGAUUAAUUAUUAGGUAAUUAACUUGAACUAUACAGGGUAAGCGAACAUGUAUCCUAAUUAUAUCAUGAUAAAUCCUUUUCCGAUCAGAAUUAGGAAACCAUAAGUAUAUUGAUUUUUUUUUCCAAUUCUCCUUUGCGAAAACGGAUUACAGAAUUAGAAAACAAUCCUAAUGAUAUUAUUGUUAGGUUUAAAACACUGCAUAGAUAGUAAAAAGCUAACUAGUUCGUAGAGUAAUUUGUUAAUUGCUAUCGCCUCUGCCUGCGCGGUGAAUAAUUUGUUGCAUGCAAAUUUUUUAUUUUAUGCAAAUCGUACUGAACAUUGGAAUUGAUGUAUAAGCAAAAAUACAAGAGUAUUUAUGUCAAUACAAAUUUUUUUUUUCCAUUUUAAAUAAACACAACGCGAUGUUUAUCUGCUCCGCGUUUUUGCAAUCUGUUUAUUCGUUGUUUAUUUGCUUCUUAAGGCCUCAAACUUUGAUAACCAAAAAUUUCACCAAACUAUGAAAAAUAUUCUGCAGGUUAGUUUUUAUUUUCGGAAUAAUUAUUUGAGAAUACUAAAACACAAUAUAAAAUAAGAAAAUAGGGGGUUAAAAUUUGAAAAAAAAACAAAAGGGCAUGUUGGAUAGAUUACUGUAGUUUAAGAAAAAAAUUAUUCAGUUGGGAAUUUUUUUUCUUUAAUUUUUGUUUUACUUAAUUGAGAUUUCUCCUUAAUCCUUACAGUUUUAAAUUUGGAUAACAUAGGAUUAGUAAUUUAGUACUUCCUUUGCAAGCCGAGGUUAAUGAUGAAAUUCUUUUAAGAAAAAAGAUAAAAGAGCAUACCAAUAGUCAAUUAUAAAUAACCACAAAUAAAUACAAACAAAAUGUUUAUGAAGUAAAUUAAAAAUGUGCAUAUUAUUUUUUUUUUAUUUCUUACUAAUCUUUGUAUUUGCUGCUUGAAAAACCAUAAAUACACAGAUGACCAUUGGCUUCGCACCAUUUAAUUGGGAUACAUUUCUACGUACAAACUGAACAAGGCUAUUGAUUUUUAUUAUUAUUUUUAUUUAUUUAUAAAUUACUAUUUCAAUUUUCACUUUUUAUUGGGUUGUUUAAUGGAUUAGUGAGGCUGGUGGUCGUUGAUGCACUCACAAGGUACAAUUUUGUUUUCCAAUUUCAAAUUCGUAUUUUAAAAUGCAGCACAUUAUGUAUACAUAAUUAUUGAUUUUCAUAUGUGGGUGUUUUGAAAUAUUGCUAAAAGACCAAACUUUAAUAAACUAUUUUUGAUCCUUUUUUGUUUCUUUUUUCCUAAAGUUUGAGUGAUAUCCGCAUUUUUAAAAGCUAAUGUAUGCAAAAAAUUCUUUUAUUUUUCUGGGGAAAAUAGGCAAGAGAAAACGUUUUGGCAAAUGAGUUGCAACUGAAUUCAAAACCAAUACGAUGCGAGCAUAGGAAAGAGGUCAGUGUUUUGGAUUUGAAUUUAGUAUUGAGCUGAAUUUUAUGUUUAACACAUGAUUCUAUUAUAGUACUGCGAUUAAUAAGCUCAGCCCCGGAUUUGCUUUUGCUUUUGCUUUUACUUCAAGUGAAAGAAAGAGGAAACCUUUUGUUUUUUCUUUGGUUUUUGACUAUGUUACCUAUACAGAGAGUCAAGAUAUCAGCCAUAAGUGAUGGUGUUAAAAAGAUUAAGCAGCGCACACAAUCUUACUGCUGUCUAGACCAUCCAAUGAUGACUCCAGUCUUUUGGUUACAUUAGCUUUAGUUGAAAUAAGGGCCAAUUUAGCAAACACUAGCUUUGGCGGCUUACUAUGUUUAAUGUAAUGCUUAUUCUCAAGGAAUCUAAUGUUAUAAGAUGAUUGAAUGAUCUUCUAUGAUUGUGAGUAGUAUAGGAUAAUUGAAAAGAGCCUGGCUCCUAUGAUAAAUAACAGUAACACAGUACUGUGAUUGAAAAAGUUCAGUUACAAAAACUUAGUUACAGUAAACUCUUCAUUUAUUCAUUGCGGAGAUUGAAUGGCAAAAAGAGAAUAGAAUGAAGCAGAGGAAUCUCAUUGCCAAUAAAAUUGACCCUCUUUAAUGUUAUAUGGCACAGGUAUGUUUACAUCAAGAACAAGUUACUUACAGUUUUUAUUGUAGUUAAGUUUUGAUGAUUUCAGAUGCUUUUUUUUUUUAAUUGUGACACCUUUGAUUUAUAAUAAUAUUGCAAAUAUAUAUAUAUAUAUAUAUUAGUAGUUUUUUGGUCCGAAAUUUUAAAGUGUGAGAAAGUAUGAGAAAGCUUUAAAACCGCACGGUGUUAAAGGCUUACAGUUUUAAGCAUUUUAAUCCAUGCGGUUUUAAAGUUUUACUGGAUUUUUCCGCACUUUAAAAUUCCAGACUGAAACAUUUCUGUAUAUAUAUACAUAUAAAUAUAUAAAUUAAGAGGGAUGAGUUAACUGAAGAUUAUAAUCAUUACAACAAUGCUGAUGAGUGAUACAUCACUUGAAAUUUACUUAUCAGUUGCUGAAAUGAUGAAAAAAAAACAAUAAACAAUAACAGUGAUAAUGUUCUCUUGCUAAAAUGACUUGUAUAUUAUACAAUCCACUCUACUUAAUGAUAUCGUUUUAAUAAAUGUUUGAUGAUCUCCAUUUAAAAACUACUUCAAUUUUUUUCUUCAUUUAACUUUUUGGUUGUUGAAAAUAACCUUAAUUAUCAAAUAAUUGGAGAAAGAGUAAAGAACAUUUAACAAAUUUAUGUGUAAAAAAAAAAAGGAGAAGUUGAAGAGAAAGGGUGCUUGCAGAAGUAGGUGUCAAAGAUAAAUCGGUCCAUAGGAAUUAUUUGUUGAGAUAUAAUUAAUAAUCUAGUAAAUUGAGCAAGAAGUUUGAAGGGUUAUUUGGUUUGUUUUUCAACAUGAAGUAAAGGGUAGAAUUGAUGUUUGCAAUGUAGCUUUGGAAAUGUAAAGCAUGAUUAAUGUAAUCUCUAGAGUUGUCUAUAAUGCAUAUAAAUAUAGAACUCUGGUUGUAUGAAAAGUAAGAGAGAAACGAAAAAAUGAAUUAAGCAAUAAAGUUUCAGAAAUUUCCAGCAAAAUACUCUGUUCUUAAAUAAAAAUUUUUCUGCACUUCCGCUUGCACCCAACAAAUUUGGUAUCAGAGCUAUUCCAAAACACCCUCAAAAUGACAUCAAACUUCUCCCUGUUUUGAGCUGGAAUAAGAGCAGAAAGCUGUGGGAAAAGGCACUAUUGCUGUCCAUACAAAGGAAGGUACUGAUUUCCUUAUUGUUUGCCUUUAUGUUGAUGCUGCAACAACAAUUUAUUGUGACAACAUGUCAGCCAUUGCUCUAACAAAGAACCCCGUAUUUCAUGCUAAAUCUAAGCACAUUGAGCUGCGUUAUCACUACAUCCGUGACUUAGUAAACAAAGGAGAAGUUAAUAUGGAGUUUAUCAGCACUAAUGAGCAGCCAUCAGAUUUUCUGACCAAAGCAAUCAACAUUGAGAAGUUUGAAAAAUUCAAGAAGCAAUUGAAGAUUACUAAUUAAGAGGGGGUGUUGAGAUAUAAUUAAUAAUCUAGUAAAUUGAGCAAGAAGUUUGAAGGGUUAUUUGGUUUGUUUUUCAACAUGAAGUAAAGGGUAGAAUUGAUGUUUGCAAUGUAGCUUUGGAAAUGUAAAGCAUGAUUAAUGUAAUCUCUAGAGUUGUCUAUAAUGCAUAUAAAUAUAGAACUCUGGUUGUAUGAAAAGUAAGAGAGAAACGAAAAAAUGAAUUAAGCAAUAAAGUUUCAGAAAUUUCCAGCAAAAUACUCUGUUCUUAAAUAAAAAUUUUUCUGCACUUCCGCUUGCACCCAACAUUAUUUUGGUUAUUUUUUAGCAAUAUAAAAAUUUUUUAGCAAGUAAAAAUUAAUUUUUUUCCAAUUUACUAAAAAAUUAACUAAAAACUUCUGCGAUAGCAUUUUUUAUGGGUGCAUAUACCUCCCUUUAAAAAAUAUAUAAUAAUUAAUGCUUAAUAUAGUAUUAAAUACGAAAAUAUCAAUAUUUGACUACUCAAAUUUAUAUCAUUAGGUCCUUAAAAUUUAAAAUUGAAGAUACAAAAGGAAAUAUAUAUAAAUUUCAUUCUCAUGGGAAAGGAUCAUCUUAUAAUCUUAUAAUAUUUGAGUUUUGAAAUAUUUUUUUGAAACAAAUGUACUUUUAUUUGUGUACAAUCAAUAUGUACUUAUUUAUUAUAUUUUUAUUUAUUAACUAUCAAUCAUGUGAGUAUAUUUAGUCAGAAAAAUUAUAUCAAGAGAGAACCCUAAUUUCACGUAAAGACAAAUACAAGACAAAUAUGGCAAUUUCUAUACUAUUCACUUUCCUGUAGAAUCAAUUAUCUAAAAUGCAAGUUUGUGGCUUCAAAAAACUCGCCAAAGAAAGAAGAUAAUUACAAUUGAGCAUUGAUAGCAAAUCUAAUGCAUCCAAUUCUUCUUAACUUGAUGAGUGACGUGAAUACUAGCAGUCUGUAACGCCCAAAUUUUUAUUAUUUUAUUUAUUUUUUAAUGGAAUUUAUAAAUGACAUUUUUGCCCUUAUAAAAACGGUUAUUCAUGGAAUAAUUUUUAGGAAAGGGUUAUUUUUCCAAAUUCAAUAGGGUUUCUUAAGACUCCCUAUAAAUUCAUAUUUUUCUCCUUCCAUAACCCUAAAAGCACGACGUUUCUUCUUCUUCUAUGCUGCUCAUUACGCUCUUACCCAAACCCUAGGAUUCAAACCUUUGGUUAAGAGAGAAUCAAAGCGAUUGGUAAGUUUAUUCCCCUUAUUCUCCACAAGAUUCCCAAUCACUCUAUCUAGGGUUUAUAUUGGCACGAUUUUAGAUUGUUAUAGAUCAUAAUGCAUGAUUUAGAAUGUGUUUAGGCUUUGUUUAGAGUUUUGAUUUAUUAUGAGUUUAGUUAAUCAACCUUGACGUAUUAAGCACAUAGAAUAGUUCCAUAGAAUAUUAUGUUAUUCUGAGUUUUAGAUUAAGAGUUAAAAUUCUGAGCAUCGGACCUGUACGGGUACGAAUUAAAAAAACCAGGUUCUUAGAAUAAGUUAUUAAUUGUCAUAUAUUGUAUUUGUUUAAGGCGUUGGAGGUGAUUGAGGCUCUUAGAGGGUUAGAGGUGUGUUAAUUCAAAUUCUUUUGUCAAGUUAAGUAACUUUAUUCCUAAUGUACUGGAUAUAUAUAUAUGAUUAUUUUGAUAUUAUUAUAAGUAUACGAAUUUUUUUACUACUUAGAAGAUUAAUGGAUUUUCAUAACAAAAUCAGUUUGUGUAAAUGUUUUCAAACCUAAAUUCUUUUUAAUAAAUUAUUUUGUAAAGGCUUUUAAAUAUGUAAGUUAUUUUAUGACAUGACUACCUUUUAUAAUUUUGUCUAUGAAAUAUUUGCAAGCCUAAAUUGUGGUUAUGGACUUUCAUGAAACUGAUACAAAUGUUUUGUACCUAUGUAUGAUUUCAAUUAUUUAUGAUUGUACGGGGGCCACCUCUUGGGACUAUAUGGGGGCCACCUCUUGAAAGCCAAAGCAUCGCAAAGUGCCACAUAUAAGUCAUUAUGUUUUGGCUCAUUGUCCAUAGUUAUUCUGAUUCUGAUUCUGAUCGUAUAAUACGAUAUAUGUCUGUUCUGGACCAGUACUGGGUUUUUGUUUUGAGUGUGCACACGAUAUUCUGAUUCUGUUUUUGGCCGAGUCACCAGGACUAUAGGUGACACUAUGUGACAUGAGCUAACCUUUUGUUUUAUGUGAAUGUGAUAUAUGAUUUGCUUUUGUAAGUAACUAUACUUUUGAUAUUCUGAGUUACAAUGAAUUUAAAUUAUUUUAUAGUGAUAUAUCGUUUUAUGAAAUUUAUGGAUUAUGAUAUAUGUUUUAAUUAAAAGAAGGCUUGCAAUAUUUUUGGUAUCGAUAGGCCUAGUGUGUUAGGAAUAGUUUUACUUACCGAGUUGACGGCUCACCCCUCGUCAUUACUUUUUGCAGAUUAAAUUUCUUUUGAGAGGUGCCCUUAGCUUUGGAGUUAGUAAUUUUCUGUUUCCGUUUGCCAUUUGAAUAAGAUGAGGAAUAGACUCAUGUUUCUAUUUAGUUUAUUUCUGUUAUGGACGUGUAAUUUGGAGUUUGAGACUUUUGUUAUUUUUUUUAUGUCCUCGGGAGAGAUUAUUUAGUAUUAGACGUUUGAAUUUGUGGAUUUAUUCGAAUAAGAAUUUGAGGUAUUUCAGUUUGAAACUUAUGAGUAAAGAUUAUGAUUUGUAAGUAACCUCCUUCUUCACGUGCUCCGCACGUGUUAGAUUUGGGGUGUUACAAUUGUGGUAUCAGAGCAUUAGGUUUGGGAUUCUGUAGACUUUAUUUGAGACUAGAUUUCUUAAGCACAAUCAAUUAGUUCAAUGGUAUUGCUUGCCAUGAGGUUAUCAGAAAGAGUAGAUCUUUAAGGCGAGGAGUAAUUUUGGUCUUUUUGAUUUUCUAGUUGCUUGUGACUUUGUAAUAACUCCUUGAUAUAGGAUUUUGGUAUUAACGUAGAAUGAAAUAUUUGUUUGCUCUUGUUGUCAAUCACUAAUGUUUCUCAGUUAUACUACUUACUCAGUACUUUGCGCACUAGCAAGGCCUUUAACUAUGAAUUAUUUACCGUUUUAUUUAUUUAUUUAUUUUUAUUCUUCGUGUUAUAGUCAAAAGAUGUUGCGUAGGGGAGGUGCUAGGCAUGCCUCUAGCUCGAGAGAUGUUUUAGGAAUCGCUGAUGACGUUGACCCAACCUUGCGUGAGAUGGCUAACGAAGGGAAUCCUAUGAUGCGCGCAAUGGUUAGAUUGAUGGAACAACAAAGUAAGUUGAUUCAAGAUAUGGCUAGAGGUAAAGUUGGGGCACAGGAGAAUGUGCCAGUUGAAAGACAAGGUGGUGGAAGAGAUCAGGGAGGUAUGAUGAGCUUAGAGCGGUUUAGGAAAUUGGGACCACCUACCUUUCAGGGGACUGCCGAUCCUAUGGUUGCAGAGGCAUGGUUAAGACAGAUGGAGAAAAUAUUUAUGGCUAUGGGUUGUAAUGAUGAUCAUAGGGUGAUAUUGGCCUCAUUCGUCCUUUAGGGCGAGGCAGACCACUGGUGGGAUGCCAAAUCCCGUCUUUUGAGGGCCGGGUUACAAGAUGCACCUAUUACUUGGGAGUUAUUUCUGGAGGCUUUUCAUGAAAAAUAUUUUCCUGAACGAGUUCGACAUCAGAUGGAGGUUGACUUCCUGAAAUUGACUCAAGGAACAAAGUUUGUUGCGGAGUAUGAGGAGCAAUUUACUGCUCUAUCUCAUUUUUCUCCUACCUUAGUUGCUAAUGAGGGUAGUAAGUGUAGGAAAUUCUUGGAAGGGUUACAUCCAAACAUCAAAAGACGGUUGACCAUCCUUAAGCUUAAUAAUUAUGCCGAUUUGGUGGAUCGUGCGAUUAUUGCAGAGAGGGAUAUAAUUCAAUCUCAAGUUGCACGAUCUAAUCGACAUAAUAACCAGCCAAUAAAACAUGAUAGUAAUGGUAGCGAAGGUGAACAUAAGGACUCUAAUGGUGGGUCUAUUCAAGAGAACAAACCAUUCUGUAAUCGUUGUGACAAGUACCAUAAUGGCACGUGCUAUUUAAAGAUAGAAGCUUGUUUUGGCUGUGGAAAGAUGGGGCAUAAGGUUAUAGAUUGCCCAAAAAAGCGCAGUGGUAACAUAGAUUCUGCCGAGAACCAAAGGAAAAAGCCAUGUGUCUUCGCCAUGGUGGAGCAAGAUAUUAAGAAACCGAAUAACGAAGCCUCAGGUGCAUUACCUAUUUUCCAUAGAAAGCCUUGAAUUUUUGAGUAAUUGGUAUUGUGCUUUUCCUCCAUCCUUUCUGAUUGGAUGCAUCGUAGCUAGAGUUUUUAGCCUAAUAAUUUCUUUUUUCAUCCAUUGAAUUUCUAUGGUACAUUAGUAGGAUAUGACGUGUGAUUUUAUAAGGCCAUUAGGAUUAACUUAUGGUUGGAUGGAGUAGGGACUAAUAUGAUAUUUAGUAGGAUAUGUGAUGAAGAUUGCAAUAAAAGUGUUUCACCAGCAAUGUGCGAGCGCAUUGAACAGUUUUGAAGUUGAAUGUGAAGUGAUAAAAAAUAUUCGCCAUCGAAACCUUAUCAAUGUUAUUGGCAGUUGUUCGAACGAUGACUUCAAAUCAUUAGUCCUAGAAUACAUGUCCAACGGGAGCUUGGAGGAUUGGCUGCAUUCUAGCAAUUAUGUGCUUAAUAUUUUUCGCAGGUUGAACAUAAUGAUUGACGUUGCAUCAGCUUUAAAAUAUCUCCACUUCGAUCAUUCAACUCGUAUCAUUCAUUGUGACUUAAAGCCUAAUAAUGUGUUGUUGGGUGAAAAUAUGGUUGCUCAUUUGAGUGAUUUUGGCAUAGCAAAGCUUUUAAGUGGAAGAUGAGUCUACGAUGCGAACAAAAACCCUUGCCACUAUAGGUUAUACGGCACCAGGUUUGCUUGAAACAACUUUUUUUUUUAGUUUAUUUUAAAAUUUCCAAAUUAUUGAUUUUUACGAUCCUCAUAUCAAAAUGUUAUUGAUUAUUUAUCUAAUUAUGAAAUAAUUUAAUUCAUAGAGUAUGGCAUAGAAGGAGAAAUAUCUGCAAAAAGUGAUGUUUACAGCUAUGGGAUUAUGUUGAUGGAAACUUUUACCAAGAAAAAACCCACAGAUGAGAUUUUUGUUGGAGAAUUGAGCUUAAAGCGUUGGGUUAAUGACUUGCUUCCUAAUUCAUUAGUGGAAGUUGUGGACAAAAUUCUGAUAAUUGGAGAGGAAAAACAUUUUGCCGCAAAGGAGCAAUGUCUGUUCUCUAUCUUUAUUUUGGCUCUGGAGUGUACAAUGGAAUCACCGGAAAAGAGGAUCAAUACAAAAGAUAUUGUUACCAGAUUACUCAAGAUAAGAGACACAUUGAGUAAAAGGAUAGGAAAUUUAAGUUAAUUUUGUUUGCUUUCAUUGAUAGUUACUUUGAAUUCAUGUAAUAAGUGUAAGAAUCGUUUAUCUUUUCUUUUGAUAUUUUUUUCUUGAGAAAACUGUUGUAGUCAUCUUUUUUCAAUGGGCAGAGUUGAUUUAGUUCUUCCAAGAAAUGCUAUUGUUGAUCUUUGUUAUAUACUUUUGUCUUUUUUUGCAUGCAUUUAGGUAGAAUAGUGGUCUAGCUGCAGGCUAACAAGUCAAGCUACGCUAAAAGGGUAUGAUUUAAUUUAUUAAACCUAACUUCAAGUUCAAGAAUUGUAUCUCAUUGCCACCAAUGCUUUAGACACCUAUUGGUAGGUUUGUGUCCUCAACUUUGUUUAGAGCAAAAGUUCCAGUCCCAUGGAGGCUCAAAUAUUCCUCUCCUACGUCCCGAACACACUAAAUUCAUCAGCCUCUUGAACCCUCUCCUGAGGGCGCCUUCUGUCCUCUGUUUUCUGUUUCCAUACACAAAUAGCAAAAAGAAUUCAGAAUGACAACUGGGACAUAUAUAAGAGUGAAAUAAUUAAAAAAAAUUAUGCUUUUUUGUUUGUCGUGUUAAAAUCGUAAGGUAUCUAAGUACUAUGAAAGAGAUUAGUUUACGAAAACUGAAGCCAAGGGUUCAUAAAAAAGUGCAAAGAGAAUAAAGGACAACGCUUAUGUAAAGCGACAUAAUUGUAUUGGUAGCACAAUGUCACGUUCAUACAGAGAUCAAGUACAUUAUUUACAGCUGGUAAGGGCUAAGAAUUGAUGUAGCUAGAAUACAAAUAUGAUAAGGUAUGUUGUGCACUAUUGUUUUAUUCUACAAUCAAUCUUGACCCUUGAUGCUUGGCUCUCAAUCUUGUCCAUUGAUCUUCUCUGAUCUCGAAAACUUCAAGACCUUUCAAUCUCAUGCCUUAUUAUUGGUAUGUUCUAUGCUGUUAAUUUCAAAUACUAGCUUUUCCGCCAACUUGCCAAUUAUUUGUUCAUUGGUGCGUUCUGUCAAACAGUGUGGAUACUUAUACCAAACGCUUUCUGUUUUAACUCCCCCUUUCAAGCUCAACUAUCUGGGAAGACACUAAUAAGCUUGUUUCUCAAGUAUAUGUAUCUGAAAAUUAAAUUUUCAAAAUUAUAUUCGGACUCUACAUUUUCUAAUGAACAUUGGUUUGGCUCAUAAGCUUAUUAUACUUGGGCUUGGUAGGAUUAUCGGUCGGUAGAUGAACAAGUGUUAGAGCUUUCGAAUUUAUGCCAAUUAAAAAAAAAUCUAUAUAAAUUUUCCACUAGGCUAUUACCACAAUAAACAUUUGGAUGAACUAUUAUUGAAACCUUAUUGAGAAGUAGGACAUGUCGCAUACCAAUGCACUGACAUAUCUUCAAAUAGUGGUAACUCCACACAACAUGGCACAAUAAAUUAGAGUUAUAUAGAUAAAAUCUUUCACUCUUUGGUAAUCAUCAAUGUCGGCAUGGCAAUGCGUCCGACAAAAUUCAUAAAUCAAAACAAAAAUAGAGAAUCAUAUUUGUUUCAGAUUGUAGUGAUGGUUGUUCAUAAUUCACAAUUUUAUUUAAUAUCUUCAAAUUCGCAUUUUAAAAUGCACAAAUGUUUGUGUAUACAUAAUUAGUAAUCGAUUCUCAAGCUUGGACAUUUAAAAGCACUGCUAAAAGACAAAAUUUUAAUUCACUAUUUUUUGUCUUUUAAUUUUCUUUAAGUUUUAAUGAUUCCGCAUUUUAAAAUCCUGUGGAACGUACAUGUAAAAUUCUUUUAUCUUUUAGAGGAAAAUGGGCAAGAGAAGAAGAUUUGGCAAAGGAAUUGCAACCGCAUUUGGAGCUAGUUUUAAUUUUGUCUUUUAAUUCUUUUACACUUGGCUUUUGUUAUUGAUGUCAACUUCGAUGUGUGUGCGUGUGCGACUGAAUUCAACUUACAUGCUAUUGAUGCAGCCACCAAAAAGGGGUGGUCCAUCAUCAAUCAACAAGGUUUAUUAUUAUUUCCAUAUUGAUUUUCUUAAUUAUAAAUAAUACUAAUGUUAUUUCAUAGUUAUAAAUAUAUUAGAAUUAAUCGAAAUCAUUUUUUAGUGUGGCAUGGCUAAAACUACCUUUUUUUUUUAUAAGUAAUUACUACUUUCACAUUAAGAAAAAUACUCCUAUUUUUAAGGAAAAGUCAAGUACCUGUAGUUGUGAAGACUCAAGCUCACUCCCUUAUGAUAAAUCUUCAUAUUAAUUACGUAAAUAUCCUCUAAAAUUUUAAAUUAGCUAUUCAAAAUUUGAUGUUAUACGGGUAUUUCAUUUAUUUGAGUAGGGGUUAGGGGUCAAUUGGAUACAAAUUCAAAAUUAUCCUUACUUGAGAAGGUGAUAAAAAUUGGGGAUUUAGUUUGGAUGUCAUUAGCUACAAAUAUUAAACUCAUACAUUUAAUUCAAAAUUAGAGGGCUGAUAUGUGCGCAUCAUCGUCCACGUUAUAGUGACACUGCGUCACCAUUCCACAACCUCUCCAAUGAAAAAUUGACAUGCUUCUUGUGCGCAUCUAAUCAGAAUCUUGAAAAUUAAUCACAAAAUUGUACUUUUAUUAUAAAAAGAAUAAAGAAACUCCAAGAAAAAAAAAAAGACUUACAUAAAUAGAUUGAAAAAUCUAGAUUUCAAGUUGUCUAUAUUAGCUUGAUAUUUUUAUUAAUAGUCAUCCUCCCAAAAAAAUUCCAUCAAAAUAUAUUUUAAUUUUAUGUUAAUUCAUAAACAUGAAAAAAUCAUUUUAGAAUUAAUUAAAACAUAAUUUAUUGUUGCUCAAAAAAGGUAGAACUUAGUUAUCAGAAAAAAGUGUCUAAAAUAUAUGUUAAAAAAAAAUCAUGGUUGGUUGGACUGAUUGAAUUUUUUUUUUCUUUUUUAAGAAUUAAGACAAUUGGAUGGAUUGAGUAAUAAUAAUACAUAUUUAUUUGGCAAAUGGCAGGGAGGCUUUCGUCUGAUGCAGAUUGAUUAGAGAGAAAAUAUAACAAUUUUAAGCUCGUCAGAUUCGAAGCUGCUUACCUGUCGUGUGGGGAUCACUUCCGUGUCUUAUUUUUCUAGAAAAAUCUGGACCAUUGGAUUUACCAUUAGUCAAUAGAGAAAUGUUGAUCUUGAUUCUUGAUCAAGAUCGAAGUUUGAUUCUAACUAACACGAUAUCAGAUUGCGAAGCAAGCAAAUUGAAAGUCACUUGUUCUAUGGAAGAAACACAAGUUCUAAUAAAACAUUCUCAUAGUAAAGUGAAUUACCAUCCAACGAUCCAACUCAUGUUUUCAAAUUGUAAAUUGCAAAUCGUGUGUUUGCUCCAUUACAGAGUUUCUUCAAUCUGAAAUAGCGAAUCAUUUGUGUUCUAGAUUAAUCGUGGGUCUAUAUCCAAAUCUAAAAAUUGACUAACUUGAUUUCUAUUAAAUUCUUAAUCCUAACAAGAAAAAUUGAAGAUUAAAAACGACUAAUUUGGUACCAUACCACUAUUGUAACAUAGGUAGAUCCUCUAUUAAUUGGAGUAAAGAUUGAAUUAUCUCAUUUAUUAAGGUUUAUCAAAAUCUUGUGUCAAAAUCUAUUAAUGAUAUAGGUUCAAGGAUGAAAAAGUCACUGCAUUACUUUUGAGUUCCCAAAUAGAUGAAUGGAUGUUAUUUUUAGAUUCCGGAGAGUCGAAAAUAUUAAGAUAGGUGCUAAAUCGAAUUAAGUUGUAGAUACGAUAGAAAUGGAUUUGGAGAGAUUGGAAUCCUAGGUAAUCCGGUGCACGUUGUCGUGUUAAAUUCUCGUUGACUUCACGUUGACUGAAGCAUUAUUGGAAGAAACAAGUUUAUUGAUGUGAGGCCUUUGAGGUUGUAAGUGUUAAAUCUGAGAAGAAUACCCACACACCCAUUAUCCUAUUACUCUUAUAUCACAUGAAGAGAAUUCAACAUUUGAUUCACACGGAAAAAAUUUGUGAGGAAUGUGAGGGUUGAUGGAAUAUAAUUUAGAUACAAAGUGUUUACCAGUGCGAUGCUUCGCAAGUGUUCUUGAAUCAAUAUAAACUCACAUUAUUUUCAUAGUGAUUGUUUCAUCUGCACGUUAAUAUAAUCACAUGUCGAGAUUUUUUUCCUUAAAUUAUGGUCUUAUUUAGUAUUGAGGUGUUAUAUCUUUUAAGGUACAAUUAUUGUUGGAAAAAAGUUACAACUAUCAAAUAAAAUUAAUACUAUGUGCUAAAUAUAAUUGUUAAAUAAUAAUUUUGACAAAAUUAGUGAAGUUAUAUAGAUUUUUUUCAUCAUCCAAGUAUAAAAUCAAAUCAACUUAACUUCUAAGUUAUAUAUCGGCUACUGUUUAUCAUAUGUUUUAGUUUUGUAACUUUUAAAUUAUAGUUACCCAACCUCAAUUCUAAACAAGACCUAUAAAGAUCAAAGAUUUCCUCAUUAAAUUAUAUGUCUUGUGAUUGCUUAUUUAAUUUAUAUUUUUGUUAUUUAUCUUUAUUAAUUAUAAUCAUCUUUUUAUAAAUUAAAAUUGAAGGAAGUUGAUUGAUGUUGUUGACACACACACGCACGCGCACGCACACACUCACAAAGAUAUAUUGGAAGUGCUUACGUCGACUCGAAGUUGUUGGGAAUUAAUGCAUGUAUUGAUUUAUUGGGAGUGUUUAAAUGAUUUUGUGAUUUACUUGAUUUAUUGAUUGAAUAUUGUUUGAUUGCUUCAUAUCCAUUCUAGAAAGUUUAUUUCUUUGUGAAAGUUCAACGAAAUAUGUUUUUUUUUUUAAAUAAGGGUGUUCUAAAUAAUUUUAAAAAAUAUAUGCUUGUCUUCCCAAAAUAGCCUUUGAAUACACAAGUAAAUGUCUAGCCUUUGGUGAGGAUAGUUUGGUCAUUGCAUUUUACAAGUAAGAUGAGUGGUGGAGAAAAAUGAGGAGUGCACAUAACUCUUCAGCAAAUCCCACCAACAAUUCCAUUUUCUUAAUUAAUUAAUCUCCUUUUUUAUCCCCAAACAAAUCCUAAUGAUACUAUUAUCAGGUUUAAAACAGUACACAAAUAGUGAAAAGCUAACUAGUCUGUAGAGUAAUUUGCUAAUUGCUAUCUCCUCUCUAUGCUCGCUGAAUAAUUUGUUGCAUGCAAACUUUUUAUUUUAUGCAAAUCAUACGUACUGUAACAUUGGAAUUGAUGUAUAAGCAAAAAUACAAUAAUAUUUAUGUCAAUACAAAUAGUUUUUUUUCCCUUUUUAAAUAAACACAACGCGAUGUUGCUCUGCUCUACAUUUUUGCUAUCUCUUUAUUAUUAUUAUUUUUUUUUGGGCUUCUUAAAGCCUCAAACUUUGAUAACCAAAACUUCAUCGACCUAUGAAAAAAUCUGCAGAUUAGUUUUUAUUAUCGGAAUAAUUGUUUGAGAAUACUAAAACAAAAUAUAAAAUAAGAAAAUACGGGGUUAAAUUUGGGGAAAACAAAAAGGCAUGUUGGAUAGAUUACUAUAGUUUAAGGGGAAAAAAAAAUUCAAUUGGAAAUUUUUUUCUUUAAUUUUUGUUUUACUUGAUUGAGAUUUCUCCUUAGUCCUUACAGUUUUAAGUUUGGAUGCCGUAGGGUUAGUAAUUUAGUAUUUCCCUUGCAAGCUGAGCUUAAGGAUGAAAUUUCUUUUAAGAAAUUAAAAAAGAUUAAAAAAAGCAUACCAAUAGGUAAUUAUAAAUAACCAUAAAUAAACAUAAACAAAAUGUUUAUGAAGUAAAUUACACAUGCACAUAUUAUUUUUUUGUUAUAUUUCUUACUUGUCUAUUUUAUUUGCUGCUUGAUAACCCGUAAAUACUAAUCUAGUACUGCUAAUUUCAGACACAAAAUGUUUAACUCUAGGCUGCAGUUUUACUCAAAAUGAUGACCACUGGCUUCGCACCAUUUAACCGGCAUACAUUUCUACAAAUUGAACAAGGCUAUUGAUUUUCAUUAUUAUUUUUUAUUUAUUUAUAAAUUACUAUUUUAAUUUUCACUUUUUAUUGGGUUGUUUACAGAUUAGUGAAGUUGGUGGUCGUGAUGCACUCACAAGGUACAAUUUUAUUUUAUAAUUUCAAAUUUGUAUUUUAAAAUGCAGGUACAUUAUGUAUACAUAAUUAUUGAUUUUCAUAUGUGGGUGUUUUGAAAUAUUGCUAAAAGACCAAACUUUAAUAAACUAUUUUUUAUCUUUUUUUUUCCUAAAGUUUGAGUGAUAUCCGCAUUUUAAAUUCAUGUGGAACAAAAGCUAAUGUAUGCUCAAAAUUCUUUUAUUUUUUCCGAGAAGAAUGGGUAAGAGAAGAAGAUUUUUCUGUUGAAAAAGAAAAACUAAUACGAUGCAAGCAUAGGAAAGAGGUCAGUGUUUUGGAUUAGAAUUUAGUAUUGAGCUGAAUUUUAUACUAAACUCUUUUAUAGUACUGCGAUUAAUAAACUCAUGAUUUGCUUUUGCUUUUACUUCAAGUGAAAGAAAGAGGAAACCGUUUGAUUUUUGUUUGAUUCUUGACUAUAGAUGUUACCUAUAUAGAGAGUUGAGGUAGCUGCCUUAAGUGAUGGUUAUAAAAAGAUUAAGCAGCGCACACAAUCUUACUGUCGUCCAGACCAUCCAGCUAUGAUGACUCUAGUUUUUUGGUUACAUUAACUUUAGUGGAAAGGAGGGCCAAUUUAACAAAGACUAGAUUUGGUGGCUUACUAUAAUGCUUAUUCUCAGGGAAUCUAAUGUUAUAAGAUGAUUUAAUGAUCUUCUAUGAUUGUGAGUAGUAUAGUAUAAUUGAAAAGAGCUUGGGCUCCUAUGAUGAAUAUUUAAUAGUAACACAGUACUGUUAUUGAAAAAAACACAGUUACAAUAAACUCUUCAUUUAUUCAUUGUGGAGAUUGAAUGGCAAACAGAGAAUAAAAUGAAGCAGAGGAAUCUCAUUGCCAGUAAAAUUGACCCUCUUUAAUGUUAUAUGGCACAGGUGUGUGUACAGCAAGAUCAAGUUACUUGCAGUUUUUAUUGUAAAAUAUAUAGGUUAUGACCAUGAUCAUUGUAGUUAGGUUUUGAUGAUUUUAGAUGCUUUUUUUAUUUUUUUUAAAAUUGUGACACCUUUGAUUUAUGGUAGCUUUGCAGAAGAAAAAUAUAUAUAUAUAAAUUAGGAGGGAUGAGUUAACUAACGAUUGCAAUCAUUACAGUAAUGUUGAUGAGUGAUACAUCAUUUGAAAUUUACUUGUCAGUUACUGAAAUGAUGAAAAAAAACAAUAAACAAUAGCAGUAAUAUUUUUAUGGAAAAUCUUGGUUUUUAUGGAAAUACUCUUGCUGAAAUUCUAAUUUUGACUUUCAACUCUUGGUUUUUAUGGAAAGUAAAAUGACUUGUUUGUUAUAUUCAUACAAUCCACUCUACAUAAUGAUUUCAUUUUAAUAAAUGCUUGAUGAUCUCCACUGAAAAACUACUUCAAUUCUUUUGUUUUAUUUAACUUUUUGGUUGUUGAAAAUAGCCUUAAUUUUCAAAUAAUUGGAGAAAGAGUAAAGAACAUUUAACAAAUUUAUGUGCCAAAAAUAAAGGAGAAAUUGAAGAGAAAGGGUGCUUGCAGAAGUGGGUGCAAAGAUAAAUCAGUCCAUAAGAAUUAUUGUGGUUAUUAAGUUUUUGGCAAUAUAAAAAUUUUUCAGCAAAUAAAAAUUGAUUUUUUCCGAUUUACUAAAAAAUUAAUUAAAAACUUCGGUGAUAGCAUUUUUUAUGGGUGCAUGUACCCUCCCUUUAAAAAAAAUAUAAUAAUUAAUACUUAAUAUAGUAUUAAAUACGAAAAUAUCAAUAUUUGACUACACAAAUUUAUAUCAUUAGGUCCUUAAAAUUUAAAAUUGAAGACACAAAAUGAAAUAUAUAUAAAUUUCAUUCUCACAGGAAAGGAUCCUCUUAUAAUCUUAAAAUAUUUGAGCUUUGAAAGAUUUUUUAAAACAAAUGUACUUUUAUUUUUGUACAAUCAAUAUUUACUUAUUUAUUAUAUUUUUAUUCAUUAACUAUCAAUCAUGUGAGUAUAUUUACUCAGAAAUAUCAUAUCAAGGAAGAAUCUUGAUCCCACGCACACACAAAUAUGUUAAUUUCUAUACGCUUCACUUACCUGUAGAAUCAAUUAUCUAAAAUGCAAGUUUGUGGCCACAAAAAAAGCCAAAGAAAGAAGAUAAUAACAAUUGACUUGUAUAUUAUACUCAUACAAUCCACUCGACAUAAUGAUAUCAUUUUAAUAAGGCAAUGGCUGAUGAUCUCCAUUGAAAAACCAAUUCAAUUUUUUUGCUUCAUUUAACUUUUUGGUUGUUGAAAAUAACCUUAAUUAUCAAAUAAUUGGAGAAAGAGUAAAGAACAUUUAACAAAUUUAUGUGCAAAAAAAAAAAAAAAAAAAGGAGAAGUUGAAGGGAAAGGGUGCUUGCAGAAGUGGGUGUCAAAGAAAAAUCUGUCCAUAAGAAUUAUUGCGGUUAUUUUUUGGCAAUAUAAAAUUUUUAUAGCAAGUAAAAAUUAAUUUUUUCCAAUUUACUAAAAAAUUAACUAAAAACUUCUGCGACAACAUUUUUUAUGGGUGCAUAUACCCGCCCUUUAAAAAAAAAAAUAAUUAAUGCUUAAGUUAGUAUUAAAUACGAAAAUAUCAAUAUUUGACUACUCAAAUUUAUAUCAUUAGGUCCUUAAAAUUUAAAAUUGAAGAUACUAAAGGAAAUAUAUAUAAAUUUCAUUCUCAUGGAAAGGAUUCUCUUAUAAUCUUAUAAUAUUUGAGUUUUGAAAUUUUUUUGAAACAAAUGUAAUUUUAUUUGUGUACAAUCAAUAUUUACUUAUUUAUUAUAUUUUAAUUUAUUAACUAUCAAUCAUGUAAGUAUAUUUAGUCAGAAAAAUUAUAUCGAGAGAGAAUCCUAAUUUCACGCAAACACAAAUACAAGACAAAUAUGUUAAUUUCUAUACUAUUCACUUUCCUGUAGAAUCAAUUAUCUAAAAUGCAAGUUUGUGGCUAUAGAAAACUCGCCAAAGAAAGAAGAUAAUAACAAUUGAGCAUUGAUAGCAAAACUAAUGCAUCAUUUUCUUCUUGACUUGAUGAGAUGGUGCCAUUACAAAACAAUAAUUACCUUAAUUGACGGGCACUGAGUGAUGUGAAUACUACCAGCCAGUUCAUCUCUUCCAGUCUUGCUUAAUCACAAUCACAAACACCACGAGAUUGACAUUUGCAUUAUAUAUAUCUUCAGCAAUCGAAACACCUUGCAUUACCAAAUUAACCGGUAACAAACAAAGCAACCUUUCAUGGAGAGAAACUUUAGUCUCAGUAUGAUCACUGUGUCAUUAACCCACUUCCUGCUUCUUUGCUUGGUUGUUGCAGCAGCAGCAGCAGCAGCAAGCAACAAUAUUACCACAGACCAACAAGCUCUUCUUGCCCUGAAAGAUCAUAUAACUUAUGAUCCAACCAAACUUUUUGCCCAUAAUUGGACCUCGAAUACCUCUGUUUGCACCUGGAUUGGCCUCAGUUGUGAUGUCAAUAGCCAUAGAGUCACAGCCUUAGAUAUUUCUCAAUUCAAUAUACAAGGCACCAUCCCUCCUCAACUUGGAAACCUCUCUUCACUCACAACACUUAAUCUUAGUCGUAAUAAGCUUUCUGGAAGCAUUCCCCCCUCCAUCUACACCAUGCAUACGCUAAAAUUUCUAGACUUCACUGAUAACCUGCUCUCUGGUUCAGUGUCUUCCUCCGUCUUCAACAUGUCUUCAAUAUUAGACAUUCGUUUGACCAAUAACAGACUUUCUGGUGAGCUUCCGAAAAAUAUUUGCAACUAUCUUCCUUACUUGAAAGCCCUUUUUCUGGACAAAAACAAGUUGCAUGGCAAAAUUCCUUCAGCUUUAUCAAAUUGCAAACAACUGCAACAAUUGCAUUUGCAGUUCAAUAAUUUAUCCGGUGCAAUACCGAAAGAAAUCGGCAACUUGACUAUGCUCAAAUGGAUAGAUCUCGGCUACAACAAACUCCACGGUAUGUUUCAUAAUGCUAUCUAAAUAUUUUAAUUUAUCACUUGUUUAUUUUAAUUUCUCACUUGUUAUUUUUCUUGAAUACUUUAGAUAAGAUCUAGUAAGUGAGAUUUUUUGCAUCUAUGUUAAUUUACCAGGUGAGAUACCCCCCGAAAUCGCUAAUCUUCGAAAUCUAGAGGCUUUGGUGCUUGGAAUGAACAACCUAGUGGGUGUGUUACCAGCUACAAUCUUCAACAUGUCAACACUGAAGGUAGUUAUCCUCAUUAAUAACUCUCUCUUCGGAAGUCUCCCAUCAAGAAUAGACCUUUCACUUCCAACUAUUGAGCACCUUAACUUGGCACUUAAUAGAUUUUCUGGAACCAUUCCUAGUUCCAUCACCAAUGCUUCUAAGCUCACCUUUCUAGAGUUGGGAGGAAACACAUUUUCGGGCUUUAUUCCGAACACAAUUGGUAAUUUAAGAAACCUUGAGUGGCUCAGCUUGGGUAAUAACUACUUGACAUCUUCAACCUCAAAAUUGAGCUUUCUUUCCUCUUUGGCAAAUUGCAAGAAAUUAAGAGACAUAGGCUUAACAGGCAAUCCACUCGACGGUAUCCUUCCAAGUUCAAUAGGUAAUCUUUCCAUGUCUUUGAAAACACUUUACAUCGGCAAUUGCAGUAUUAGUGGCAACAUUCCUCAAUCAAUUGGCAAUUUAAGCAACUUAUUGGCCUUAGUAUUAGAAGGCAAUAAAUUGACCGGACCAAUCCCAACUACAUUCGGCCAACUGCAGAAACUCCAAGGCUUAUUUCUUACAUUCAAUAAGUUGGUAGGUUCAUUCCCAGAUGAGCUUUUCCAUCUAGCUAGGCUGGAUAAAUUGGUAUUAUUGGGAAAUAAGCUUUCAGGAUCUAUGCCUUCAUGCUUAAGUAACCUCACUUCUCUGAGAUCUCUCUACUUAGGGUCCAAUAGGUUUACUUCUGUUAUUCCCUCAACUUUCUGGAGCCUAAAAGACAUCUUGUUCUUUGACUUUUCAUCAAAUUUCUUGGUUGGUACUCUUUCUUUCGACAUAGGUAAUUUGAAGGUGCUUCUAGGAAUAAGUUUAUCAGAAAAUAACUUAUCGGGUGAUAUGCCAGCCACAAUUGGAGGGAUAAAAAAACCUUCAAAUUAUGGACCUAGCAUAUAAUAGAUUGGAAGGGCAAAUUCCUGAAUCAUUUGGUGACUUGACAAGUUUGGAGGUUUUGAAUUUGUCAAAUAAUAAAAUCUCUGGGUCUAUUCCAAAAUCCAUGGAGAAACUCUUUUACCUCCGAGAGUUAAAUCUCUCUUUCAAUGAACUAGAAGGUGAGAUUCCUAGUGGAGGAAUUUUUGCCAACUUCACAGCUGAGUCAUUUAUGGGAAAUGAGUUAUUGUGUGGUUUACCAAAUCUUCAAGUCCAACCAUGCAAAGUUAGCAAGCCGAGGACAGAACAUAAAUCAAGGAAAAAGAUACUUCUCAUUGUGAUUGUUUUGCCAUUGAGUAUUGCUCUAACAAUAGCAAUCACUCUACCUCUCAAAUCUAAGCUGAUCGAAUGUGGAAAAAGAAGCACAGUGUUGUCAAAUGAUAGUGUCUUGUCAUCACAAGCAACACUAAGAAGAUUUUCAUACUUAGAACUUUUACAAGCAACAGAUAAUUUUGCUGAAAACAACGUAAUUGGCAUAGGAGGUUUUGGUUCUGUUUACGGUGGAAGACUUGAAGAUGGGAUGAAGAUUGCAAUAAAAGUGUUUCACCAGCAAUGUGCAAGCGCAUUGAAGAGUUUUGAGGCUGAAUGUGAAGUGUUAAAAAAUAUUCGCCAUCGAAACCUUAUUAAAGUUAUCAGCAGUUAUUCAAACAAUGACUUCAAAGCAUUAGUUCUAGAAUACAUGUCCAACGGGAGCUUAGGGGACUGGCUGCAUUCUAGCAAUUAUGUGCUGAAUAUAUUUCAGAGGUUGAACAUAAUGAUUGAUGUUGCAUCAGCUUUAGAACAUCUCCACUUCGAUCAUUCGACUCCUAUUAUUCAUUGUGACUUAAAGCCUAGUAAUGUAUUGUUGGACGGAAAUAUGGUUGCUCAUUUGAGUGAUUUUGGCAUAGCAAAGCUUUUAAGUGGAGAGGAUGAGUCUAUGAUGCGAACAAAAACCCUUGCCACUAUAGGUUAUAUGGCACCAGGUUUGCUUCAAACAACUUUUUUUUUUUAGUUCAUUUUAAAUUUUGCAACUUAUUGAUUUUUACGAUCCUCACAUCAAAAUGUUAUUGAUUAUUUAUCUAAUUUUGAAAUUAAUUUGAUUCAUAGAGUACGGCAUAGAAGGAGAAGUAUCUACAAAAAGUGAUGUUUACAGCUAUGGGAUUAUGUUGAUGGAAACUUUUACCAAGAAAAAACCCACAGAUGAAAUUUUUGUUGGAGAAUUGAGCUUGAAGCGUUGGGUUAAUGACUUGCUUCCUACUUCAUUAGUGGAAGUUGUGGACAAAACUCUGCUAAGUGGAGAGGAAAAACAUUCUGCAGCAAAGGAGCAAUGUCUGUUGUCUAUCUUUAGUUUGGCUCUGGAGUGUACAAUGGAAUCACCGGAAAAGAGGAUUAAUGCAAAAGAUAUUGUUACAAGAUUACUCAAGAUAAGAGACACAUUGAGUAAAAGGAUAGGAAAUUUAAGUUAAUUUCGUUUGCUUUCAUUGAUAGUUAAUUCGAAUUCAUGUAAUAAGUCUAAGAAUCUUAUAUCUUCAAAUUCGCAUUUUAAAAUGCACAAAUGUUUGUGUAUACAUAAUUAGUAAUCGAUUCUCAAGCUUUGGACAUUUAAAAGCACUGCUAAAAGACAAAAUUUUAAUUCACUAUUUUUUUGUCUUUUAAUUUUCUUUAAGUUUUAAUGAUUCCGCAUUUUAAAAUCCUGUGGAACGUGCAUGUAAAAUUCUUUUAUCUUUUAGAGGAAAAUGGGCAAGAGAAGAAGAUUUGGCAAAGGAAUUGCAACCGCAUUUGGAGCUAGUUUUAAUUUUGUCUUUUAAUUCUUUUACACUUGGCUUUUGUUAUUGAUGUUAACUUCGAUGUGUGUGCGUGUGCGACUGAAUUCAACUUACAUGCUAUUGAUGCAGCCACCAAAAAGGGGUGGUCCAUCAUCAAUCAACAAGGUUUAUUAUUAUUAAUUUCCAUAUUGAUUUUCUUAAUUAUAAAUAAUACUAAUGCUAUUUCAUAGUUAUAAAUAUAUUAGAAUUAAUCGAAAUCAUUUUUUAGUGUGGCAUGGCUAAAACUACCUUUUUUUUAUUAUAAGUAAUUACUACUUUCACAUUAAGAAAAAUACUCCUAUUUUUAAGGAAAAGUCAAGUACCUGUAGUUGUGAAGACUCGAGCUCACUCCCUUAUGAUAAAUCUUCAUAUUAAUUACGUAAAUAUCCUCUAAAAUUUUAAAUUAGCUAUUCAAAAUUUGAUGUUAUACGGGUAUUUCAUUUAUUUGAGUAGGGGUUAGGGGUCAAUUGGAUACAAAUUCAAAAUUAUCCUUACUUGAGAAGGUGAUAAAAAUUGGGGAUUUAGUUUGGAUGUCAUUAGCUACAAAUAUUAAACUCAUACAUUUAAUUCAAAAUUAGAGGGCUGAUAUAUGCGCAUCAUCGUCCACGUUAUAGUGACACUGCGUCACCAUUCCACAACCUCUCCAAUGAAAAAUUGACAUGCUUCUUGUGCGCAUCUAAUCAGAAUCUUGAAAAUUAAUCACAAAAUUGUACUUUUAUUAUAAAAAGAAUAAAGAAACUCCAAGAAAAAAAAAAGACUUACAUAAAUAGAUUGAAAAAUCUAGAUUUCAAGUUGUCUAUAUUAGCUUGAUAUUUUUAUUAAUAGUCAUCCUCCCAAAAAAAUUCCAUCAAAAUAUAUUUUAAUUUUAUGUUAAUUCAUAAACUUGAAAAAAUCAUUUUAGAAUUAAUUAAAACAUAAUUUAUUGUUGCUCAAAAAAGGUAGAACUUAGUUAUCAGAAAAAAGUGUCUAAAAUAUAUGUUAAAAAAAAAUCAUGGUUGGUUGGACUGAUUGAAUUUUUUUUUCUUUUUUAAGAAUUAAGACAAUUGGAUGGAUUGAGUAAUAAUAAUACAUAUUUAUUUGGCAAAUGGCAGGGAGGCUUUCGUCUGAUGCAGAUUGAUUAGAGAGAAAAUAUAACAAUUUUAAGCUCGUCAGAUUCGAAGCUGCUUACCUGUCGUGUGGGGAUCACUUCCGUGUCUUAUUUUUCUAGAAAAAUCUGGACCAUUGGAUUUACCAUUAGUCAAUAGAGAAAUGUUGAUCUUGAUUCUUGAUCAAGAUCGAAGUUUGAUUCUAACUAACACGAUAUCAGAUUGCGAAGCAAGCAAAUUGAAAGUCACUUGUUCUAUGGAAGAAACACAAGUUCUAAUAAAACAUUCUCAUAGUAAAGUGAAUUACCAUCCAACGAUCCAACUCAUGUUUUCAAAUUGUAAAUUGCAAAUCGUGUGUUUGCUCCAUUACAGAGUUUCUUCAAUCUGAAAUAGCGAAUCAUUUGUGUUCUAGAUUAAUCGUGGGUCUAUAUCCAAAUCUAAAAAUUGACUAACUUGAUUUCUAUUAAAUUCUUAAUCCUAACAAGAAAAAUUGAAGAUUAAAAACGACUAAUUUGGUACCAUACCACUAUUGUAACAUAGGUAGAUCCUCUAUUAAUUGGAGUAAAGAUUGAAUUAUCUCAUUUAUUAAGGUUUAUCAAAAUCUUGUGUCAAAAUCUAUUAAUGAUAUAGGUUCAAGGAUGAAAAAGUCACUGCAUUACUUUUGAGUUCCCAAAUAGAUGAAUGGAUGUUAUUUUUAGAUUCCGGAGAGUCGAAAAUAUUAAGAUAGGUGCUAAAUCGAAUUAAGUUGUAGAUACGAUAGAAAUGGAUUUGGAGAGAUUGGAAUCCUAGGUAAUCCGGUGCACGUUGUCGUGUUAAAUUCUCGUUGACUUCACGUUGACUGAAGCAUUAUUGGAAGAAACAAGUUUAUUGAUGUGAGGCCUUUGAGGUUGUAAGUGUUAAAUAUGAGAAGAAUACCCACACACCCAUUAUCCUAUUACUCUUAUAUCACAUGAAGAGAAUUCAACAUUUGAUUCACACGGAAAAAAUUUGUGAGGAUUGUGAGGGUUGAUGGAAUAUAAUUUAGAUACAAAGUGUUUUACCAGUGCGAUGCUUCGCAAGUGUUCUUGAAUCAAUAUAAACUCACGUUAUUUUCAUAGUGAUUGUUUCAUGUGCACGUGGAUAUAAUCACAUGUCGAGAUUUUUUUCCUUAAAUUAUGGUCUUAUUUAGUAUUAAGGUGUUAUAUCUUUUAAGGUACAAUUAUUGUUGGAAAAAAGUUGCAUCUAUCAAAUAAAAUUAGUACUAUGUGCUAAAUAUAAUUGUUAAAUAAUAAUUUUGACAAAAUUAGUGAAGUUAUAUAGAUUUUUUUUCAUCAUACAAGCAUAAAAUCAAAUCAACUUAACUUCUAAGUUAUAUAUCGGCUACUUAGGGAUGGCAAUGGAUUGGAUCUGACCCAAGAUCCACGUGAUCCAAAUCUAAUCGGAUCGGAUUUGGGUCAGUUUAAAAUGAAUUUGGAUCGGAUUUGGAUAUUGAUGUGCGGAUCUAAGACGGAUCUGGAGCAGGUCUGGAUCUAUCUUAGUAUCUAAAUCCAUAUCCAUAUCCACCCAUCUUUUAAUUUAAUUUUAUUUUAAAAGUUUCUUAACAAUUGUGGAAUUAUAAUGAUAAUGAAUUUUAUUCAUAGCAUAUUAGUGGUAUUUACCAUGCAUUUAAACUCUUUAAAAUUAAAGGUUAGUUUUGUAAAUUUAAAGACUAGCCAGGCCCAAAGCAUGUACAUGCAAUAUUCAAAUUGCAAGCCAAGUAAUACAACCUGGCAAUUUAUUUUAUUAUAUUGGCCAAAUAAUUUUUAAGGAAUAUAGGUAUUCAUAUAUUUUGUCAAAUAUGGUCAUAAUAAAAAUAAUAAAGGACUGAAUAUAAAUCAUAUUUUAUUUAUAUGUCAUUAUCUAAUAUUAUAAGAAUGAGGGUGGGUGUGUUGUAGAUAUUAGAAUGAUGAAUGAGACAAUAGAAUAUUAGAUUGAUCUUACUCCUGCAAUUACUUUUAAAGGAUAUUUUAUUAUCUUAUUUGUUGUUUUGGUGUAAAAGUAUAAGUUACAAUAUUUAUUAUAUUUUUGAGAAAAAUUAUAUAAUUUAUUUGUUAUCAAUACAUUUUAACCUUCAAUUUUCAUUCUAAAAAAUUAUUACUUUUUAAUUGAUGAGUUUUAGAAUUCAUGACAGAUCUAGAGCAGAUUUGGAUUUUAAUUUUUUUUUUCAGAUUUGGAGCAGAUAUAAAUAUUUAUUUCUUUUAUGGAUAUGGAUAUGGAGCGAAAAAUAUAGAUUCAUGAUGGAUCUGGAGCAGAUACGGAUCUUGAUUUUUAUUAUGGAUUUGGAUCUGGAGCAGAGUAGAUCCAACCCAUAUCUGCCCCAUUGCCAUCCCUACGGCUACUGUUAAUCAUAUGUUUUAGUUCUGUAACUUUUAAGUUAUAGUUACCCAAUCUCAAUUCUAAACCAGACCUAUAAAGAUCAAAGAUUUCCUCAUUAAAUUAUAUGUCUUGUGAUUGCUUAUUUAAUUUAUAUUUUUUUUUAUUUAUCUUUAUUAAUUAUAAUCAUCUUUUUAUAAAUUAAAAUUGAAGGAAGUUGAUUGAUGUUGUUGACACACGCACACACGCACACACUCACAAAGAUAUAUUGGAAGUGCUUACGUCGACUCGAAGUUGUUGGGAAUUAAUGCAUGUAUUGAUUUAUUGGGAGUGUUUAAAUGAUUUUUUGAUUUACUUGAUUUAUUGAUUGAAUAUUGUUUGAUUGCUUCAUAUCCAUUCUAGAAAGUUUAUUUCUUUGUGAAAUUUCAACGAAAUAUGUUUUUUUUUUUAAAUAAGGGUGUUCUAAAUAAUUUAAAAAUAUAUAUGGACUAAUUAGAAUUAAUUAUUAGGUAAUUAACUCAAUCUGUAUAGGGUGAAACAACAUUUAUCCUAAUUAUAUCAUGAUAAAUACUUUUCCUAUUAGAAUUAGGAAAUCAUAGGUUUAUUGAAUUGUUUUUUUUUUUCCUUUGCGGAAACGGAUUAGAGAAUUAGAAAACAAUCAUGUUGAUGUCAAAAUCUGAUCUAGUCGGUUAGCGACUUAAUAUCAUAUUACUGCACCAACAUUAAAUUUAUUGGGUGGAGAAUCGACUGGUCAAUUGUCAAGAUGUCCUGCAAUCACUAGCGAUUAACCUACGAAUACCUAAAAUCACAGAAGACGGUAAGAGGCACCGGAAGUUUUUUCGGCGUGAACCUUCCGACGCUCAAGUCAGUUUAUAGGUUUACCAUAAUAAAAAUAAAUAAUUUCUAUUUAAAAAAAAAUAGAGUUCAAAAGCUCAAAAAUAAAACCCAAUCCCAAUAUGAAAAUGAAUUUUUUUUUUUUUUUUUCUAGCUUGGCCGAAUCCUUCUGCCUCCUAAAGAAACAUAACAGAGAAGCAGGUAGCCAUGUUCCCUAGGUAACGCCCCACUCCCCUCUUUUAUUCCUCCCCCUCUCUUCCGUUUCCUUCUUUUGCUCACUAUCCUUCAUAAUUUUUUAUGCUUGUCUUCCCAAAAUAGCCUUUUAAUACACAAGUAAAUGUCUAGGCUUUGGUGAGGAUAGUUUGGUCAUUGCAUUUUACAAGUAAGAUGAGUGGUGGAGAAAAAUGAGGAGUGCACAUAUAACGCUUCAGCAAAUCCCACCAGCAAUUCCAUUUUCUUAAUUAAUUAAUCUCUUCAGCAAAUCCCACCAACUCUUCAGCAAAUCCUAAUGAUAUUAUUAUCAGGUUUAAAACAGUACACAAAUAGUGAAAAGCUAACUAGUCUGUAGAGUAAUUUGCUAAUUGCUAUCUCCUCUCUCCGCGCGCUGAAUAAUUUGUUGCAUGCAAACUUUUUAUUUUAUGCAAAUCGUACGUACUGUAACAUUGGAAUUGAUGUAAAAGCAAAAAUACAAGAAUAUUUAUGUCAAUAAAAAUAGUUUUUUUGGCCUUUUUAAAUAAACACAACGCGAUAUUGCUCUGCUCUACAUUUUUGCUAUCUCUUUAUUCUUCUUUUUUUUUUUGGGCUUCUUAAAGCCUCAAACUUUGAUAACCAAAACUUCAUCGACCUAUGAAAAAAUCUGCAGAUUAGUUUUUAUUAUCGGAAUAAUCAUUUGAGAAUACUAAAACAAAAUAUAAAUAAGAAAAUAGGAGGUUAAAUUAGAGGGGGGAAAAAAGGUAUGUUGGAUAGAUUACUAUAGUUUAAGAAAAAAAAAUCCAAUUGGGAAUUUUUUUCUUUAAUUUUUGUUUUACUUGAUUGAGAUUUCUCCUUGGUCCUUACAGUUUUAAGUUUGGAUGCCGUAGGGUUAGUAAUUUAGUACUUCCUUUGCAAGCUGAGUGCAAGAAUGAAAAUCUUUAAAGAAAUAAAAAAAAAAAAAAAAAGCAUACCAAUAGGUAAUUAUAAAUAACCAUACAUAAACAUAAACAAAAUGAGGUAAUUAUUAAUAUUAUUUUUUGUUUUAUUUCUUACUUGUCUAUUUUAUUUGCUGCUUGAUAACCCGUAAAUACUAAUCUAGUACUGCUAAUUUCAGACACAAAAUUUUUAACUCUAGGCUGCAGUUUUACUCAAAAUGAUGACCACUGGCUUCGCACCAUUUAACCGGCAUACAUUUCUACAAAUUGAACAAGGCUAUUGAUUUUCAUUAUUAUUUUUUAUUUUUUUAUAAAUUACUAUUUUAAUUUUCACUUUUCAUUGGGUUGUUUAACGGAUUAGUGAAGUUGGUGGUCGUGAUGCACUCACAAGGUACAAUUUUAUUUUAUAAUUUCAAAUUUGUAUUUUAAAAUGCAGGUACAUUAUGUAUACAUAAUUAUUGAUUUUCGUAUGUGGGUGUUUUGAAAUAUUGCUAAAAGACCAAACUUUAAUAAACUAUUUUUCAUCUUUUUUUUUUCCUAAAGUUUAAGUGAUAUCCGCAUUUUAAAUUCAUGUGGAACAAAAGCUAAUGUAUGCACAAAAUCCUUUUAUUUUUUCCGAGAAAAAUGGUUAAGAGAAGAAGAUUUUUCUCUUGAAAAAGAAAAACUAAUACGAUGCAAGCAUAGGAAAGAGGUCAGUGUUUUGGAUUAGAAUUUAGUAUUGAGCUGAAUUUUAUACUAAACUCUUUUAUAGUACUGCGAUUAAUAAACUCAUGAUUUGCUUUUGCUUUUACCUCAAGUGAAAGAAAGAGGAAACCUUUUGUUUUUUGUUUGAUUCUUGACUAUAGGUGUUACCUAUAUAGAGAGUUGAGGUAGCUGCCUUAAGUGAUGGUGAUAAAAAGAUUAAGCAGCGCACACAAUCUUACUGUCGUCCAGACCAUCCAGCUGUGAUGACUCUUGUUUUUUGGUUACAUUAGCUUUAGUGGAACGGAGGGCCAAUUUAACAAAGACUAGAUUUGGUGGCUUACUAUAAUGCUUAUUCUCAGGGAAUCUAAUGUUAUAAGAUGAUUUAAUGAUCUUCUAUGAUUGUGAGUAGUAUAGUAUAAUUGAAAAGAGCUUGGGCUCCUAUGAUGAAUAUUUAAUAGUAACACAGUACUGUUAUUGAAAAAAACACAGUUACAAUAAACUCUUCAUUUAUUCAUUGUGGAGAUUGAAUGGCAAACAGAGAAUAAAAUGAAGCAGAGGAAUCUCAUUGCCAGUAAAAUUGACCCUCUUUAAUGUUAUAUGGCACAGGUGUGUGUACAGCAAGAUCAAGUUACUUGCAGUUUUUAUUGUAAAAUAUAUAGGUUAUGACCAUGAUCAUUGUAGUUAGGUUUUGAUGAUUUUAGAUGCUUUUUUUAUUUUUUUUAAAAUUGUGACACCUUUGAUUUAUGGUAGUUUUGCAGAAGAAAAAAAUAUAUAUAAAAAUUAGGAGGGAUGAGUUAACUAACGAUUGCAAUCAUUACAGUAAUGUUGAUGAGUGAUACAUCAUUUGAAAUUUACUUGUCAGUUGCUGAAAUGAUGAAAAAAAACAGUAAACAAUAGCAGUAAUAUUUUUUGGCAAUAUAAAAAAUUAUUGCGGUUAUUUUUUGGCAAUAUAAAAAAAUUUUAGCAAAUAAAAAUUAAUUUUUUUCCGAUUAACUAAAAAAUUAAUUAAAAACUUCUGCGAUGGCAUUUUUUAUGGGUGCAUAUACCCUCCCUUUAAAAGAAAAAAUAAUAAUUAAUACUUAAUAUAGUAUUAAAUACGAAAAUAUCAAUAUUUGACUACACAAAUUUAAUAGUCUUGUGUAAUUAGUGAGUGAGAGAUUGGGUGUAUUGGAGUUUUGGGUAGUGAGCCAAAAUAUUACAAUACUUGUAAUCUUUAUUUCACUAGUGAAAUAUUUUCCUUCUGUUUUUGCCCGUGGACGUAGGCUAAAAGCCGAACCACGUAAUUUCUGGUGUCCUCUAUUGUACUUGUUCUUUAUUUGCUUCCAAUUUUAUUUUAACUGCGCGUCUGCUUCACCCAUCAAUUUCCUAACAAAUCUUGAUCCCAUGCACACGCAAAUAUGUUAAUUUCUAUACGCUUCACUUACCUGUAGAAUCAAUUAUCUAAAAUGCAAGUUUGUGGCCACAAAAAAAGCCAAAGAAAGAAGAUAAUAACAAUUGACUUGUAUAUUAUACUCAUACAAUCCACUCGACAUAAUGAUAUCAUUUUAAUAAGGCAAUGGCUGAUGAUCUCCAUUGAAAAACUAAUUCAAUUUUUUUGCUUCAUUUAACUUUUUGGUUGUUGAAAAUAACCUUAAUUAUCAAAUAAUUGGAGAAAGAGUAAAGAACAUUUAACAAAUUUAUGUGCAAAAAAAAAAAAAAAGAAGUUGAAGAGAAAGGGUGCUUGCAGAAGUGGGUGUCAAAGAAACAUCGGUCCAUAAGAAUUAUUGCGGUUAUUUUUUGGCAAUAUAAAAUAUUUAUAGCAAGUAAAAAUUAAAUUUUUUCCGAUUUACUAAAAAAUUAACUAAAAACUUCUGCCACAACAUUUUUUAUGGGUACAUAUACCCUCCCUUUAAAAAAAAAAUAAUAAUUAAUGCUUAAUAUAGUAUUAAAUACCAAAAUAUCAAUAUUUGGCUACUCAAAUUUAUAUCAUUAGGUCCUUAAAAUUAAAAAUUGAUGAUACAAAAGGAAAUAUAUAUAAAUUUCAUUCUCAUGGAAAGGAUUCUCUUAUAAUCUUAUAAUAUUUGAGUUUUGAAAUUUUUUGAAGCAAAUGUAAUUUUAUUUGUGUACAAUCAAUAUUUACUUAUUUAUUAUAUUUUAAUUUGUUAACUAUCAAUCAUUUAAGUAUAUUUAGUCAGAAAAAUUAUAUCAAGAGAGAAUCCUAAUUUCACGCAAACACAAAUACAAGAUAAAUAUGUCAAUUUCUAUACUAUCCACUUUCCUGUAGAAUCAAUUAUCUAAAAUGCAAGUUUGUGGCUACCGAAAACUCGCCAAAGAAAGAAGAUAAUAACAAUUGAGCAUUGAUAGCAAAACUAAUGCAUCAUUUUCUUCUUGACUUGAUGAGAUGGUGCCAUUACAAAAAAAAAAGUACCUUAAUUGACGGGCACUGAGUGAUGUGAAUACUACCAGCCAGUUCAUCUCUUCCAGUCUUGCUUAAUCACAAUCACAAACACCACGAGAUUGACAUUUGCAUUAUAUAUAUCUUCAGCAAUCGAAACACCUUGCAUUACCAAAUUAACCGGUAACAAACAAAGCAAUCUUUCAUGGAGAGAAACUUUAGUCUCAGUAUGAUCACUUUGUCAUUAACCCACUACCUGCUUCUUUGCUUGGUUGUUGCAGCAGCAGCAGCCGCAAGCAACAAUAUUACCACAGACCAACAAGCUCUUCUUGCCCUGAAAGAUCAUAUAACUUAUGAUCCAACCAACCUUUUUGCCCAUAAUUGGACCUCGAAUACCUCUGUUUGUACCUGGAUUGGCAUCACUUGUGAUGUCAAUAGCCAUAGAGUCACAGCCUUAGAUAUUUCUCAAUUCAAUCUACAAGGCACCAUCCCUCCUCAACUUGGAAACCUUUCUUCACUUACAACGCUUAAUCUUAGUCAUAACAAGCUUUCUGGAGACGUUCCAUCCUCCAUCUACACCAUGCAUUCGCUAAAAUUUCUUGACUUCACUGAUAACCAGCUCUCUGGUUCAGUGUCUUCCUUCGUCUUCAACAUGUCUUCAAUAUUAGAAAUUCUUUUGACCAAUAACAGAUUUUCUGGUGAGCUUCCGAAAAAUAUUUGCAACUAUCUUCCUUAUUUGAAAGCCCUUUUCUUAAACAAAAACAUGUUUCAUGGCAAAAUUCCUUCUGCUUUAUCAAAGUGCAAACAACUGCAAAAAUUAAAUUUGCAGUUCAAUAAUUUAUCCGGUGCAAUACCGAAAGAAAUCGGCAACUUGACUAUGCUCAAAGGCAUAUAUCUCGAAUACAACAAACUCCACGGUAUGUUCAUAAUACUAUGUAAAUGUUU